rfam:Schistosoma haematobium scaffold1341_31, whole genome shotgun sequence.
AUCCAGUUGUCGAGUCCCAAACAGGAUGAAACGCGCGUCCUGGAU